UACGUAGGUGGCAAGCGUUGUCCGGAUUUACUGGGCGUAAAGGAUGCGUAGGCGGACAUUUAAGUCAGAUGUGAAAUACCCGAGCUUAACUUGGGUGCUGCAUUUGAAACUGGGUGUCUAGAGUGCAGGAGAGGUAAGUGGAAUUCCUGGUGUAGCGGUGAAAUGCGUAGAGAUUAGGAAGAACACCAGUGGCGAAGGCGACUUACUGGACUGUAACUGACGCUGAGGCAUGAAAGCGUGGGGAGCAAACAGG
rnacentral:rRNA from 1 species